rnacentral:rRNA from 1 species
AUACAUAUAUUUUUUUCCAUAAAAAUUUUUUCUUGUCCAAAGAUAUUUAUAAAAAAUAACAAGUUUUUACCUUUUGUAUAAGUGUUUUUCAAUAAAAUUUUAAAAUUUAUUUUCCCGAAAACAACUGAUAAAAUAUUAUUGUUUUUUUACGUAGCAUAGUAAUUUAAAUAAGUAAAUAUUAGAAAUGAAAAAUUUCCCAAUGUUGUUGAUAUCUGGAUUUUUUUAAAAAGUAUUUAGUACUUAUCUCAUAUAAAAGGUGUUACGAUCUUUUAUUAAUUGAAAAAUUUUUGUUAAAAUAUUUUAUUAAAUAAAAUUAGUAUUAAUAUUUAAAUUUACUAUUAUUAUAUUUUAUUUCUUUUUAAUAAAAAAACAUAAUAUAUAACUUUAUUUUUUAUUGUUUAUGAAAAAAUUAGUGUUUUUACAAAAAAAUUUUUAGGAACUCGGCAAUAAUAAAUUUCAAUAGUUUAUCAAAAACAUAGUUUUAUGAUAUUUAUAUAAAAUAACUUCUGCCCAGUGUCUAAAAGAUAAAUGGCCGCAGUACCUUGACUGUGCUAAGGUAGCAUAAUCAAUUGGCUUUUAAUUGAAGUCUAGAAUGAAUGGGAAAAUGGAAUUUAGCUGUCUUAAUUUUUUUAAUUAAAAUUUAUUUAUAAGGUGAAAAUACCUUAAAAUUAAAUAAAGACGAGAAGACCCUAUGAAUUUUUAAAUGUAUUUUUGUUGGGGCGACAGUUUAAAAAAUAAUCUUAAAUUUAUAAUAUAUAACGAAUUUUUUAAUAAAAAUUAAAUUACCUUAGGGAUAACAGCAUUAUUAUUAAAAUAGUUUGUGACCUCGAUGUUGGACUAGGAACUAAAAGGCUAACCGUCUUUAUAGAUUUGUUCUGUUCGAACAAUUUAAUCCUACAUGAUCUGAGUUCAGACCGGCGUAAGCCAGGUCAGUUUCUAUCUUAUUUUAUAUUAAUUGUAGUACGAAAGGACCUAAUUAAAUUUUUC